rnacentral:tRNA from 1 species
GGUGAGAUGGCGGAGCAGCUGACUCUUAAUCAGCGGGUCCGCAGUUCAAUCCUGCGCCUCUCCC